rnacentral:rRNA from 1 species
CUUCUUGUGUCAUUUANAGGAAGUAAAAGUCGUAACAAGGUUUCCGUANGUGAACCUGC